AAAUAAAGAAUAUAACAUAAGCGACUGACUUACGAUGACAUGCACAAUUAAACAAGAUCUUGUAUCUAAUUGUGUCUCCCACUAUUUUAUCGGACACCAUAGCCCUCACUAUGAUGAACGGGAUACUGUAGAGUUAUCCAUGUAUGGUUGAGAUCUUAAUUCCUCGUAAGAGCCUUGUGGUUACACAACAAAUCCUAACAAGUUCAUAGGUAGAAAACUCUUUCCAAUUUUAACUCAUGCAACUCUCAACUCUAUCCUGGCC
rnacentral:lncRNA from 1 species